GAGGUUAAGCGACUAAGCGUACACGGUGGAUGCCCUGGCAGUCAGAGGCGAUGAAGGACGUGCUAAUCUGCGAUAAGCGCCGGUAAGGUGAUAUGAACCGUUAUAACCGGCGAUUUCCGAAUGGGGAAACCCAGUGUGACUCGUCACACUAUCAUUAACUGAAUCCAUAGGUUAAUGAGGCGAACCGGGGGAACUGAAACAUCUAAGUACCCCGAGGAAAAGAAAUCAACCGAGAUUCCCCCAGUAGCGGCGAGCGAACGGGGAGGAGCCCAGAGCCUGAAUCAGCAUGUGUGUUAGUGGAAGCGUCUGGAAAGGCGCGCGAUACAGGGUGACAGCCCCGUACACAAAAGCGCAUGUGCUGUGAGCUCGAUGAGUAGGGCGGGACACGUGGUAUCCUGUCUGAAUAUGGGGGGACCAUCCUCCAAGGCUAAAUACUCCUGACUGACCGAUAGUGAACCAGUACCGUGAGGGAAAGGCGAAAAGAACCCCGGCGAGGGGAGUGAAAAAGAACCUGAAACCGUGUACGUACAAGCAGUGGGAGCACCCUUUGGGGUGUGACUGCGUACCUUUUGUAUAAUGGGUCAGCGACUUAUAUUCUGUAGCAAGGUUAACCGAAUAGGGGAGCCGGAGGGAAACCGAGUCUUAACCGGGCGUUAAGUUGCAGGGUAUAGACCCGAAACCCGGUGAUCUAGCCAUGGGCAGGUUGAAGGUUGGGUAACACUAACUGGAGGACCGAACCGACUAAUGUUGAAAAAUUAGCGGAUGACCUGUGGCUGGGGGUGAAAGGCCAAUCAAACCGGGAGAUAGCUGGUUCUCCCCGAAAGCUAUUUAGGUAGCGCCUCGUGAAUUCAUCUCCGGGGGUAGAGCACUGUUUCGGCUAGGGGGCCAUCCCGGCUUACCAACCCGAUGCAAACUGCGAAUACCGGAGAAUGUUAUCACGGGAGACACACGGCGGGUGCUAACGUCCGUCGUGAAGAGGGAAACAACCCAGACCGCCAGCUAAGGUCCCAAAGUCAUGGUUAAGUGGGAAACGAUGUGGGAAGGCCCAGACAGCCAGGAUGUUGGCUUAGAAGCAGCCAUCAUUUAAAGAAAGCGUAAUAGCUCACUGGUCGAGUCGGCCUGCGCGGAAGAUGUAACGGGGCUAAACCAUGCACCGAAGCUGCGGCAGCGACGCUGAUGCGUUGUUGGGUAGGGGAGCGUUCUGUAAGCCUGUGAAGGUGGCCUGUGAGGGUUGCUGGAGGUAUCAGAAGUGCGAAUGCUGACAUAAGUAACGAUAAAGCGGGUGAAAAGCCCGCUCGCCGGAAGACCAAGGGUUCCUGUCCAACGUUAAUCGGGGCAGGGUGAGUCGACCCCUAAGGCGAGGCCGAAAGGCGUAGUCGAUGGGAAACGGGUUAAUAUUCCCGUACUUGGUGUUACUGCGAAGGGGGGACGGAGAAGGCUAUGUUGGCCGGGCGACGGUUGUCCCGGUUUAAGCGUGUAGGUGUGUGUUCCAGGUAAAUCCGGUUCACUUUAACACUGAGGCGUGAUGACGAGGCACUACGGUGCUGAAGCAACAAAUGCCCUGCUUCCAGGAAAAGCCUCUAAGCAUCAGGUAACAUCAAAUCGUACCCCAAACCGACACAGGUGGUCAGGUAGAGAAUACCAAGGCGCUUGAGAGAACUCGGGUGAAGGAACUAGGCAAAAUGGUGCCGUAACUUCGGGAGAAGGCACGCUGACACGUAGGUGAAGUGAUUUACUCAUGGAGCUGAAGUCAGUCGAAGAUACCAGCUGGCUGCAACUGUUUAUUAAAAACACAGCACUGUGCAAACACGAAAGUGGACGUAUACGGUGUGACGCCUGCCCGGUGCCGGAAGGUUAAUUGAUGGGGUCAGCGCAAGCGAAGCUCCUGAUCGAAGCCCCGGUAAACGGCGGCCGUAACUAUAACGGUCCUAAGGUAGCGAAAUUCCUUGUCGGGUAAGUUCCGACCUGCACGAAUGGCGUAAUGAUGGCCAGGCUGUCUCCACCCGAGACUCAGUGAAAUUGAACUCGCUGUGAAGAUGCAGUGUACCCGCGGCAAGACGGAAAGACCCCGUGAACCUUUACUAUAGCUUGACACUGAACAUUGAGCCUUGAUGUGUAGGAUAGGUGGGAGGCUUUGAAGUGUGGACGCCAGUCUGCAUGGAGCCGGCCUUGAAAUACCACCCUUUAAUGUUUGAUGUUCUAACGUGGACCCGUGAUCCGGGUUGCGGACAGUGUCUGGUGGGUAGUUUGACUGGGGCGGUCUCCUCCUAAAGAGUAACGGAGGAGCACGAAGGUUGGCUAAUCCUGGUCGGACAUCAGGAGGUUAGUGCAAUGGCAUAAGCCAGCUUGACUGCGAGCGUGACGGCGCGAGCAGGUGCGAAAGCAGGUCAUAGUGAUCCGGUGGUUCUGAAUGGAAGGGCCAUCGCUCAACGGAUAAAAGGUACUCCGGGGAUAACAGGCUGAUACCGCCCAAGAGUUCAUAUCGACGGCGGUGUUUGGCACCUCGAUGUCGGCUCAUCACAUCCUGGGGCUGAAGUAGGUCCCAAGGGUAUGGCUGUUCGCCAUUUAAAGUGGUACGCGAGCUGGGUUUAGAACGUCGUGAGACAGUUCGGUCCCUAUCUGCCGUGGGCGCUGGAGAACUGAGGGGGGCUGCUCCUAGUACGAGAGGACCGGAGUGGACGCAUCACUGGUGUUCGGGUUGUCAUGCCAAUGGCACUGCCCGGUAGCUAAAUGCGGAAGAGAUAAGUGCUGAAAGCAUCUAAGCACGAAACUUGCCCCGAGAUGAGUUCUCCCUGAGACUUAG
rnacentral:rRNA from 1 species